rnacentral:rRNA from 1 species
GAUGAACGCUAGCUACAGGCUUAACACAUGCAAGUCGAGGGGCAGCAGGGAUUUAGCUUGCUAAAUCCGCUGGCGACCGGCGCACGGGUGCGUAACGCGUAUCCAACUUUCCCGUUACUCAGGGAUAGCCUUCCGAAAGGGAGAUUAAUACCUGAUGGUGUUUGAAGUUCGCAUGUUCUUCAAACUAAAGAUUUAUCGGUAACGGAUAGGGAUGCGUGACAUUAGAUAGUAGGCGGGGUAACGGCCCACCUAGUCUACGAUGUCUAGGGGUCCUGGGAGGAAGGUCCCCCACGCUGGAACUGAGACACGGGCCAGACUCCUACGGGAGGCAGCAGUGAGGAAUAUUGGUCAAUGGUCGGAAGACUGAACCAGCCAAGUAGCGUGAAGGAUGAAGGUUCUAUGGAUUGUAAACUUCUUUUAUAUAGGAAUAAAACCUCCCACGUGUGGGAGCUUGUAUGUACUAUAUGAAUAAGCAUCGGCUAACUCCGUGCCAGCCGCCGCAGUAAUAC